GUGGUCACUGAACCAUGAAAAUGAGGUCAAGGACAUUGGACAUGUGACUGACAGAAACUUCGUAACAUGAAGCAUCUAAAUACACAGUAUGAAGCAUCCAGGUCUUCCACCUUCUGAAUUAUAAAGCUUUUAAGAAGUGAGCUAACACCGCCGCCGCCGCCGCCGCCGCCGCCGUAGCCGCCGCCGCCGGAUCACUAUCCCUAUGUCGAGCUUU
rnacentral:lncRNA from 1 species